UGAGGAAUAUUGGGCAAUGGGGGAAACCCUGACCCAGCGAUGUCACGUGAAUGAUGAAGGCCUAUAGGUUGUAAAGUUCUUUCAUCUGUGAAGAUAAUGACGGUAGCAGAAGAAGAAGCUCCGGCUAACUCCGUGCCAGCAGCCGCGGUAAGACGGAGGGAGCAAGUGUUGCUCGGAAUGAUUGGGCGUAAAGGGUGCGUAGGUGGUUUUUUAAGUGAGGUGUUAAAGGCUUGGACUCAAUCUAAGUAUUGCAUUUUAGACUGAAAAACUUGAGUAUGGGAGAGGAAACAGGAAUUCCUCAAGUAGAGGUGAAAUUCGUUGAUAUGAGGAGGAACACCAGAGGCGAAGGCGAGUUUCUGGAACAUCACUGACACUGAGGCACGAAAGCGUGGGGAGCAAA
rnacentral:rRNA from 1 species